rnacentral:rRNA from 1 species
AUGAACAGGGAUAAGCUCAACAUUGAAAUUGUGGCCUUCGGCUUUGAAUUGUAAUCUCAAGAUGUGUUGCUAACGGGGGCGCANAUGUAAGCCGCUUGGAAAAGCGAACCACUGAGGGUGAGAGUCCUGUUUGUCAUUUGCAGACCUCCGUGCACGGCAUGCUUUCUAAGAGUCACGUUCCUCGGGAUUGGAGCGCAAACUGGGUGGUAAAUUUCAUCUCAAGCUAAAUAUGGGUUCGAAACCGAUAGCAAACAAGUACCAUGAGGGAAAGAUGAAAAGGACUUUGAAAAGAGAGUUAAAAGUGCCUGAACUCGCUGAAAGGAAAGCGGAUGGAACCAGUGAUGCUUUGUGAGAUUGUCGUGUGCUACGGAGAUAUCCUGCUGCUUCAACGCAAGUGAUGCAGUGUGUUCUGAUCUGGACGCAUGUGAUGCUUCUCGCCUUGUGUGUCACCGUCGGUUUGGGGGUGAGGACAACUCUUGGGGCAUGGUAGCUCGGCUCCGGCUGCUCGAAUGCACUUUGAAGAACUCACUUGCAAACCGAACAUGUAAUGUGAGGCUGUGCUGGCUCGCACUUCACCCGAUCAUGCUAUUGUGUGCCUCGGUGUGGGAGUGGGUUACCUUCCUGACAUGACCAGUGGUGACUAAAUGGUUCUAUUC